AUUGAACGCUGGCGGCAGGCCUAACACAUGCAAGUCGAACGGUAACAGGAAGCAGCUUGCUGCUUCGCUGACGAGUGGCGGACGGGUGAGUAAUGUCUGGGAAGCUGCCUGAUGGAGGGGGAUAACUACUGGAAACGGUAGCUAAUACCGCAUAAUGUCGCAAGACCAAAGAGGGGGACCUUCGGGCCUCUUGCCAUCGGAUGUGCCCAGAUGGGAUUAGCUUGUUGGUGGGAUAACGGCUCACCAAGGCGACGAUCCCUAGCUGGUCUGAGAGGAUGACCAGCCACACUGGAACUGAGACACGGUCCAGACUCCUACGGGAGGCAGCAGUGGGGAAUAUUGCACAAUGGGCGCAAGCCUGAUGCAGCCAUGCCGCGUGUAUGAAGAAGGCCUUCGGGUUGUAAAGUACUUUCAGCGGGGAGGAAGGGAGUAAAGUUAAUACCUUUGCUCAUUGACGUUACCCGCAGAAGAAGCACCGGCUAACUCCGUG
rnacentral:rRNA from 1 species